GCAGUGGAGGUUCAGCGGUAGAAUUCUCAAGUUUCAUAUGGGAGACCCAGGUUCAAUUCCUGGCCAAUCCA
rnacentral:tRNA from 1 species